GCCGGCGACCGGCGCACGGGUGAGUAACGCGUAUGCAAGUUACCUAUCAGAGGGGGAUAACCCGGCGAAAGUCGGACUAAUACCGCAUGAAGCAGGGGCCCCGCAUGGGGAUAUUUGCUAAAGAUUCAUCGCUGAUAGAUAGGCAUGCGUUCCAUUAGGCAGUUGGCGGGGUAACGGCCCACCAAACCGACGAUGGAUAGGGGUUCUGAGAGGAAGGUCCCCCACAUUGGUACUGAGACACGGACCAAACUCCUACGGGAGGCAGCAGUGAGGAAUAUUGGUCAAUGGCCGAGAGGCUGAACCAGCCAAGUCGCGUGAGGGAUGAAGGUUCUAUGGAUCGUAAACCUCUUUUAUAAGGGAAUAAAGUGCGGGACGUGUCCCGUUUUGUAUGUACCUUAUGAAUAAGGAUCGGCUAACUCCGUGCCAGCAGCCGCGGUAAUACGGAGGAUCCGAGCGUUAUCCGGAUUUAUUGGGUUUAAAGGGUGCGUAGGCGGCCUUUUAAGUCAGCGGUGAAAGUCUGUGGCUCAACCAUAGAAUUGCCGUUGAAACUGGGAGGCUUGAGUAUGUUUGAGGCAGGCGGAAUGCGUGGUGUAGCGGUGAAAUGCAUAGAUAUCACGCAGAACCCCGAUUGCGAAGGCAGCCUGCCAAGCCAUGACUGACGCUGAUGCACGAAAGCGUGGGGAUCAAACAGGAUUAGAUACCCUGGUAGUCCACGCAGUAAACGAUGAUCACUAGCUGUUUGCGAUACAGUGUAAGCGGCACAGCGAAAGCGUUAAGUGAUCCACCUGG
rnacentral:rRNA from 1 species